rnacentral:rRNA from 1 species
AGCAGCCGCGGUAAUUCCAGCUCCAAUAGCGUAUAUUAAAGUUGUUGCAGUUAAAAAGCUCGUAGUUGAACUUCGGGAUCAAUUGAUAUGGUCAUGCCUUGGUAUGUACUGUUCAUAUUGGUUCUCACCUUUCUAAUGAACCAUAAUGUCAUUUAUUUGAUGUUAUGGGGAAUUAGGACUGGUUACCUUGAAAAAAUUAGAGUGUUUAAAGCAGGCUCACGCUUAGAAUACAUUAGCAUGGAAUAAUGAAAUAGGACAUCGCAUUCUAUUUUGUUGGUUUCUAGGAUCGAUGUAAUGAUUAAUAGGGAUAGGUUGGGGGCAUUAGUAUUCAAUUGUCAGAGGUGUAAUUCUUGGAUUUAUUGAAGACUAACUACUGCGAAAGCAUUUGCCAAGGAUGUUUUCAUUAAUCAAGAACGAAAGUUAGGGGAUCGAAGACGAUC